UACGAAGGGGGCUAGCGUUGUUCGGAAUCACUGGGCGUAAAGCGCACGCAGGCGGAUUGAUAAGUCAGGGGUGAAAUCCCGGAGCUCAACUUCGGAAUUGCCUUUGAUACUGUUAAGCUCGAGUCCGGGAGAGGUGAGUGGAAUUCCUAGUGUAGAGGUGAAAUUCGUAGAUAUUAGGAAGAACACCAGUGGCGAAGGCGGCUCACUGGCCCGGUACUGACGCUCAUGUGCGAAAGCGUGGGGAGCAAACAGG
rnacentral:rRNA from 1 species